rnacentral:rRNA from 1 species
CCUACGGGCGGCAGCAGUGAGGAAUAUUGGUCAAUGGACGCAAGUCUGAACCAGCCAUGCCGCGUGCAGGAAGACGGCUCUAUGAGUUGUAAACUGCUUUUGUACGAGGGUAAACGCAGAUACGCGUAUCUGUCUGAAAGUAUCGUACGAAUAAGGAUCGGCUAACUCCGUGCCAGCAGCCGCGGUAAUACGGAGGAUUCAAGCGUUAUCCGGAUUUAUUGGGUUUAAAGGGUGCGUAGGCGGUCGGAUAAGUUAGAGGUGAAAUCCCGAGGCUCAACUUCGGAAUUGCCUCUGAUCCUGUUCGGCGAGAGAGUAGUUGCGGUAGGCGGAAUGUAUGGUGUAGCGGUGAAAUGCUUAGAGAUCAUACAGAACACCGAUUGCGAAGGCAGCUUACCAAGCUACUUCUGACGUUGAGGCACGAAAGCGUGGGGAGCAAACAGGAUUAGAUACCCUUGUGUC